UCGUCAACACUGUGAUAUUCCAGUAACAACAAAAAAGCGCAAUUUAUAAGUUCUUACAGAAACUAAAUAUCUCUAUUAUUCAACAGCGAGAAAGAUCAAUGAGCAAAGUUUUGUCUUUUACGUUGGACACUGCCUAUGAGAAACGGUAAUCUUUUUGUUUUUGUUAUUUAGGUGAGUAAAAAUUAACGGAUUAACUUUGCUUUCCCUUUUAUUUUUAUUUUUAUUUUUUUCAGUCUAUCUCUUUGUUCCCUAACUGUUUUAAUUACGCUGAGGAUUACCUGCCAAGAAUAUAUAACUCAGUAAAAUAUUAAUAUUUUAAAUGUACAUAAGGGGAUUAUAGAAAUUGAAAUACGAAAAGUGAAGUGUGUCAGAAGAUCCAAACAGCACAAAAACGAGGAAACGUCUCCUUCUGCAGAAAACCUAUAAUAUUCAAUACACAAAAAAUCUAAAUUAUUGAGAAAGAGAGGAAGAAAGAAGAAAGAAGAAAGAAGAUGAUAACGAUAAUGAUAAUGAACCAUGAUGGAAAUAAUGGCCCCACUUAAAUAAAUUCAUUUAAAACCACGUAAGUGCACUUGUAUUUUGUAAAUUUGUAGUGAAUUUAUUAGUAAAGUGCUAAAAUAUAAAAGCCUGCGAAUGUCGUAGUUUUAAAUCAGAUUUUUAUUUAUUUUAAGCACUCUCUGAAUUCAUAUGAAAAUUUCAAAAAUUAUUUACAGCUGUUUUAAU
rnacentral:lncRNA from 1 species